UCAAUUUGAAUUUAUUGUAUUGCAGGUUUGGGUUUCUUUGAGCAGUAUGGCUGGUUUGUGGUAUUUGGUGCAAUUUUAUUGGUUAUCCUGUGGAACAAAGUGAAGCCUUACUGGAAAGAGUUGUUAAACAAAUGGGAGCGACAAAGAGAAAUUGAUAAUUUUGAUCCAAUAAAAGCUGCAAGUCAGCAGGAAAGUUUAGAGAAUGCAAGGAGAAGACUUCAGGAGCAACAUAAUGCGAAAGCAGCAAAAUUCAUGGAAGACAGAAUGCAGG